UUGAACGCUGGCGGCAGGCCUAACACAUGCAAGUCGAGCGGCAGCGCGGGGGCAACCCUGGCGGCGAGCGGCGGACGGGUGAGUAACGCGUGGGAAUCUACCCUCUAGUGGGGGAUAACUCGGGGAAACUCGAGCUAAUACCGCAUAAUCUCUACGGAGGAAAGCGGGGGACCUUAGGGCCUCGCGCUGGAGGAUGAGCCCGCGUCGGAUUAGCUAGUUGGUAGGGUAAUGGCCUACCAAGGCGACGAUCCGUAGCUGGUCUGAGAGGAUGAUCAGCCACACUGGGACUGAGACACGGCCCAGACUCCUACGGGAGGCAGCAGUGGGGAAUAUUGGACAAUGGGCGCAAGCCUGAUCCAGCCAUGCCGCGUGUGUGAAGAAGGCCUUCGGGUUGUAAAGCACUUUAAGUGGGGAGGAAGGUCUGCGCGUUAAUAGCGCGCAGGAUUGACGUUACCCACAGAAUAAGCACCGGCUAACUCCGU
rnacentral:rRNA from 1 species